AUUCCUACUGGAGAUGCUUCACCGACUUAGAAUCUUGCUAUUAUUUCUUGUAUGGGUUCUUACGGUCGAGUGCCGAGCAACACACCCGAGCUGAAGAAAAACCUUGAGAUUUUGCAGUGUGGAGGAUGACCGACGAGCGCGACGGAGGCGGACGAGACAAUGGCGGUGGCGGGUGAGAGGAGGCACCUGUCGAAGGGUGGCGACAGCCAGUCUUUGCACAAGAUAGAGUUUGGAUGUCCAGGAGAUUCACCGAGAGUGACAACAACCACCAUUGGCCUUCGUGGACUCCGUCGCUGCCCCAGGCUAUGGAAUCCUCAAAUAAAUAACCGCAGUAUAUGGUUCUCAUCCUCCCACAACUCAGGUUACAGUUUCUGUAUUGUAGUUACCUUCUUGGGCAGCUCUACCUCUGUCGUGAACUGUGAUGGUUUUCCCUUGCUCCAUUUGAGGUUACCAUCGUGAUUGAUCUCCUCGGUACUUCUUGACAAGCCUUGCCGCUACCAUUGAGAUAGACCUCCUCGCCCCAUCCAACUUCUGUGUCAUCGGCUAUUGUCAGCCCUUGGUCUUAGCCGCCACCUCCUUGGUGGUAAGGCAGACUUAAAAACUCUAUGUACAUGAGCAUGCUCAGGUUGCAGCACCUUGAUGCAGGCUAGGUGCAUAUGUAAUGGAUAUUCUGGCUCGGAUCAAUUAUUCAUGCCACAGUGUGGUGAGCUUAUCUCCAUCCUCUAGCGUAAGCACGGUCUCUCUCUCUCUGUUGCCAUAUGCUAUGGUUUUUAGUUUCCAUGGACUGAUUACUGAAUCUGGCUCAUUCUUGUGAAUAGGUGAAGUAGAAAAUUAGCGUGAACUGGUGGAUGGCUUUAGUUUGUCAGUGUUUUCAUUCUGAUGUAAUUUAUUUAUCGAUAGCUUCUUGGCC